rnacentral:rRNA from 1 species
CAGUAGCCGCGGUAAUACGCAGGGUGCAAGCGUUACUCGGAAUCACUGGGCGUAAAGGACGCGUAGGCGGAUUACCAAGUCUCUUGUGAAAUCUAACGGCUUAACCGUUAAACUGCUUGGGAAACUGAUAAUCUAGAGUAAGGGAGAGGCAGAUGGAAUUCUUGGUGUAGGGGUAAAAUCCGUAGAUAUCAAGAAGAAUACCUAUUGCGAAGGCGAUCUGCUGGAACUUAACUGACGCUAAUGCGUGAGAGCGUGGGGAGCAAACAGGAUUAGAUACCCCCGUAGUCCCUGUCUCUUAUAC